AGAGUUUGAUCAUGGCUCAGGAUGAACGCUAGCUACAGGCUUAACACAUGCAAGUCGAGGGGCAGCAUGGUCUUAGCUUGCUAAGACUGAUGGCGACCGGCGCACGGGUGAGUAACACGUAUCCAACCUGCCGUCUACUCUUGGACAGCCUUCUGAAAGGAAGAUUAAUACAAGAUGGCAUCAUGAGUCCGCAUGUUCACAUGAUUAAAGGUAUUCCGGUAGACGAUGGGGAUGCGUUCCAUUAGAUAGUAGGCGGGGUAACGGCCCACCUAGUCUUCGAUGGAUAGGGGUUCUGAGAGGAAGGUCCCCCACAUUGGAACUGAGACACGGUCCAAACUCCUACGGGAGGCAGCAGUGAGGAAUAUUGGUCAUGGGCGAGAGCCUGAACCAGCCAAGUAGCGUGAAGGAUGACUGCCCUAUGGGUUGUAAACUUCUUUUAUAAAGGAAUAAAGUCGGGUAUGCAUACCCGUUUGCAUGUACUUUAUGAAUAAGGAUCGGCUAACUCCGUGCCAGCAGCCGCGGUAAUACGGAGGAUCCGAGCGUUAUCCGGAUUUAUUGGGUUUAAAGGGAGCGUAGAUGGAUGUUUAAGUCAGUUGUGAAAGUUUGCGGCUCAACCGUAAAAUUGCAGUUGAUACUGGAUAUCUUGAGUGCAGUUGAGGCAGGCGGAAUUCGUGGUGUAGCGGUGAAAUGCUUAGAUAUCACGAAGAACUCCGAUUGCGAAGGCAGCCUGCUAAGCUGCAACUGACAUUGAGGCUCGAAAGUGUGGGUAUCAAACAGGAUUAGAUACCCUGGUAGUCCACACGGUAAACGAUGAAUACUCGCUGUUUGCGAUAUACGGCAAGCGGCCAAGCGAAAGCGUUAAGUAUUCCACCUGGGGAGUACGCCGGCAACGGUGAAACUCAAAGGAAUUGACGGGGGCCCGCACAAGCGGAGGAACAUGUGGUUUAAUUCGAUGAUACGCGAGGAACCUUACCCGGGCUUAAAUUGCAGAUGAAUUACGGUGAAAGCCGUAAGCCGCAAGGCAUCUGUGAAGGUGCUGCAUGGUUGUCGUCAGCUCGUGCCGUGAGGUGUCGGCUUAAGUGCCAUAACGAGCGCAACCCUUGUUGUCAGUUACUAACAGGUUCUGCUGAGGACUCUGACAAGACUGCCAUCGUAAGAUGUGAGGAAGGUGGGGAUGACGUCAAAUCAGCACGGCCCUUACGUCCGGGGCUACACACGUGUUACAAUGGGGGGUACAGAGGGCCGCUACCACGCGAGUGGAUGCCAAUCCCCAAAACCUCUCUCAGUUCGGACUGGAGUCUGCAACCCGACUCCACGAAGCUGGAUUCGCUAGUAAUCGCGCAUCAGCCACGGCGCGGUGAAUACGUUCCCGGGCCUUGUACACACCGCCCGUCAAGCCAUGGGAGCCGGGGGUACCUGAAGUGCGUAACCGCGAGGAGCGCCCUAGGGUAAAACUGGUGACUGGGGCUAAGUCGUAACAAGGUA
rnacentral:rRNA from 1 species